rnacentral:tRNA from 1 species
GCGGCCGUGGUGAAAUUGGCAGACACGCUGGAUUUAGGUUCCAGUGAGCAAUCGUGCAGGUUCAACUCCUGUCGGCCGCACCA